CCGCCGAGGGGCGAUCCCCGUGCGAGGCGAGGGGAAGUAUUCAACAUCAAUUAAAAUGUCUUCCACCAGACCUCCAAAUGAACAAGAAACACUCAAAGAGAGAAAACCAGGACUGAGGAAUGUUCAAACAACUAUGCUCUUCCGAGCUGUGAACCCAGAGCUUUUUAUUAAACCUAACAAACCUGUGAUGGCAUUUGGACUUAUAGCCAUUACCCUCUGUGUGGCCUACCUUGGUUAUUUGCAUGCAACAGCAGAGAAUAAAAAGGACCUCUAUGAAGCAGUUGACAGCGAGGGGUCCAGAUAUAUGAGGAGGAAGACUUCUAAGUGGGACUGAGGACAUAAGGAAGGAAAUGAGCAAAUCAGUCACAGAACUUUUCAAGGCAACUACUAUUUUUUUCUCUGUCCAUUGAAAUAACGGAUAAAUGUCUCUCUUGCUAUUUAAUCCAAUUUAAGUUUCUUUAUAAAACGCUGUGCCUGUACAAAUAAAUUGCAAUUAAGAUAUGUGCGAACAUAAAAGUGAUUUUUAGAAUUGUUACGAUCUCCACAGUAUGCAAGAAGAUAAAUUACCUUGGACGUGCAGUCAAGACUGGCACAGAGAAAAGAACAUAUCCACCUGAACAAGCCCAUUCUUGCCGAACAGCCCCGCAUGCAAGUUGGAGGUGGCCCCUCGGCAGUAUGCUGGUUGGUGCUGCCGUGAGUGUGGCUGGAGGGCAGGCGGGCGUUGUGGCGUUCCUUUAGCACAUGUGGUGGUCGGUCAUCUGUGAGCCUUUACCUUGAGCAAACUGUACAGGUGGGUGCUUUCCUGUUCCAGCACUGGUGUCUUUUCCUGUGAGCUUCUCUAGCUACUUUGGUGUGCCUGACAUUUCCUAGAUGGUAUCUCAUUAACCAAACUCCAGAAUGCAUGGUGGGAGGGCGCAUGCCAGGCCGGGCCCUUUUUGCACCUCAGACCCUUAUUAACAUUCUGGUUGCAUUUUUGCAUUCAGCUCCUCAUAUUUACAGCCCCAUCAAGGGCUCCAAAGAAGUUGAGAGACCUCUCUGUUAACCUCUGCUGGCCAAGGUGGCUUCUGUCAGGCCAAAGAAGAAAGAACAUGCAGGGACAUCUGCUUUGCCACUCUGGGAAUUGCUUUGGGUUUUGUUAUCAAAGGAUUUUGUUAUGACUGACUGCCUUGAGCAACAGCAGUUGCUCUAUGGGAUUUCUCUGUAUCUCCCUCUAAAUCCUUCACUUUGAACCUGUGAUUUUCCUCCUGUUUGUCUUUUAUAGUUACCGUAUCCUAAAUUCAGCUGGACCUUGGUUUGGCUACCUGCUUCCUGAGAAGGGAAGUGAGGUCUACCUUUGAUAAAGCCAUUUAAAAAAUAGCAUUUUUACAGCCUUUAAAAGGGCAUUCCCCUCUGUGAGCCUAGUUGCCUCACAGCGGCAAGGUCCUGGGCAAAUCCAAAAGCAUGCAGAUGAGGAAACCACUUGCCUUUUGAUUGGUGAAGGCAUUUCCAGGUGAGCUGAUCAAAUAUUCAGAACUAUCACAUGCUGUGCAUAUCCUGUAGAAUAUGUUUUCUUUGAUCUGAUAUGAUGAAUCUUUAGAAUUAACCUGUUCUUUUAAAAAGGGUCACACAGGAUUUUAGCUCUCUUCAGUUUAUGAAAAUGUACAAGUCUCGUAUGUUUGUGUGAAUUUAACUAAAGUAUUCCAAAAUCAGUGAUACAGUAAGGAUUUUAACCUGGUUUUCUGCAGGCUUUUAAAAUACACACUUUGAUCCUUACACCUGCAGGUGAUUCAAAGUGAGAAAGCCCAGUCUCUCAUUUUCACAUAUUUGGGAAUAAUGCAGGAUUUGGGUUCUCAGAAUUCUGAAUUACAUUUUGUGAAGUGAAUAUGAA